CGCGACGGAGGUGCAAGCAGUCGGGGUAAGACGGAGGGGGCGAGCGUUGUCCGGAGUUUGUGGGGGGAAAGAGCGGGUAAGCGGCCGGGUAGGUCUGCUGUGAAAACUCGGGGCUCAACCUCGAGAUGUCGGCGGAAACCACCUGGCUAGAGUCCGGAAGAGGAGAGUGGAAUUCCUGGUGUAGCGGUGAAAUGCGCAGAUAUCAGGAAGAACACCUAUGGCGAAGGCAGCUCUCUGGGACGGUACUGACGCUGAGACGCGAAAGCGUGGGGAGCGAACAGGAUUAGAUACCCGGUAGUC
rnacentral:rRNA from 1 species